rnacentral:rRNA from 1 species
GACGGAGGGUGCUAGCGUUGUUCGGAAUUACUGGGCGUAAAGGGCGCGUAGGCGGCUGCUCAAGUCGGGUGUGAAAGCCCGGGGCUCAACCCCGGAACGGCACCCGAGACUGGGCGGCUCGAGACCGGGAGAGGUGGGUGGAAUACCCAGUGGAGAGGUGAAGUUCGUAGAUAUUGGGUGGAACACCGGUGGCGAAAGCGGCUCACUGGCCCGGUUCUGACGCUGAGGCGCGAAAGCGUGGGGAGCAAACAGG